UACGUAGGUGACAAGCGUUGUCCGGAUUUACUGGGCGUAAAGAGCGCGCAGGCGGUCGAUCAAGUCGAGUGUGAAAGCCCCCGGCUCAACUGGGGAGGGUCAUUCGAUACUGAUCGACUCGAAGGCAGGAGAGGGUAGUGGAAUUCCCGGUGUAGUGGUGAAAUGCGUAGAGAUCGGGAAGAACAUCGGUGGCGAAGGCGCUCUACUGGACCACAACUGACACUCAGGGACGAAAGCUAGGGGAGCGAAUGGG
rnacentral:rRNA from 1 species